UGCUGUUUUUUUAAAUUCCAUUCAUUCGAGUUUCUUCUUUAACAAUUCCGCGCGAGAAUAAAAAGGUUGAAAAGUGAAACCCUUUUUUUUUUUCUUAGCCCCAAGGUCGCAAGGUGUCGUCUCAAAAGAGCUCCUUAAAUCAUGAGAACCGCGUUACCUUUCCGUAGCGCUCCCGCCCGUAAGUCGCUAAAGUCGGAGGACUUAUCCCGGAUCCUCACGACGCUCCCGCCGUGAAUAUCAAGCAGACGCCGCUCGCGCUGGGGUAGCGCUACGAAGCUUACGCUCAACAAGAGCGUGCGGCAGGCCAGACGAAGUGUGCACCCCGCCUCCUGCCCGUUGACAGCUCGGAUAGGCUCCAGCACCUCCCUGCAACCGUUGUGAGGAUAAGCGGCAAAGAAAAUGAAUGGAUGGAUGGAUGGAUUAGCCACAAGAUGAAUGCUGAGCAGUUUGGAAGGACCUGGACAACCUGUUGCGAUUGAUGGAACCGUGAAAUCUGCUCCUUAACACAAAAAAUCUUGAAGGAGAAACUUCAGCCAUCAUUUGUGGCCUCAAGGCCUCAAUUCGCAGCACCUGCCGUUGAUUAGAAGGUUUCAAGGCAGCCUGCGAGGUUGUACGAGUUUUGGCGCGUGGUGGCGGUUAGCGUAAAUAACUGGUGCUGCUCUUUUGGUUCCGAAUCAGAUGCCCCAACCACCUCAUCUGGCUCCUCUCAAUGCGGAGGAGUAGCGGCUCGACGCCGAGCCCCUCGUUAUUAUUAUUAUCUAUAUCUGAUGUAAAUCCAUCCAUCCAUUCUCUACCGCUUCCCCAGGUCAGGUCGCGGGGGAUGUAGCUUCAGCUGGGAUACCCAGACUUCCCUUUCCCCAGCCACUUCUUCCAGCUCCUCCGGAGGGAUCCCGAGGCGUUCCCAAGCCAGCCGAAAGAGUCUCUCCAGCGUGUCCUGACAAGCUCGGAACACCUCAUCAGGGAGGCGACCAGGAGGCAUCCGGAUCAGAUGCCCAAGCCACCUCAUCUGGCUCCUCUCAAUUUAGAGGAGCAGCGGCUCGACAAUGAGCCCCUCCCAGAUGACCGAGCUUCUCACCCUAUCUCUAAGGGAGAGCCCGGACACCCUACGCAGGAAACUCAUUUCGGCCGCUUGUAUCCGGUAUUUUGUUCUUUCGGUAUACCAUAAGUGAGGGUCGGAACGUAGAUCGACUGGUAAAUUGAGAGCUUCACCUUUCGACUUCGCUCCCUCUUUACCACAACGGACCGAUACAAAGUCCGCAUCACCGCAGGCGCUGCACCGAUCCGUCUGUCGAUCUCCCGCUCCAUUCUUCCCUCACUCGUGAACAAGACCCCGAGAUACUUGAACUCCUCCGCUUGGAGCAGGAUCUCAUUCCCCGACCCAGAGAGGGCAGGCCACCCUUUUCCGGCUGAGGACCAUCGUUUCGGAUUUGGAGUUAAGUAUUAGUCGUUAGAUAAUGUGCUAUUUUUACAGUUCUUGAUAUAGCUAUGUGGCGUGGCGGUAGAAUUAGCUAAAUCCACCAAAAAAUGAUGUGAACUAAAUCUUUAAUCUUGGACAAGUAAGCUGGCACUUUAAUUAAUUUGUGCCGCUAUUUACCUGCCUGCAAUUGGUUGGCAACUAGUUCAGGGUGUACCUCGGCUGUUGCCCGAAGUUAGCUGGGAUAGUCUCCAGCACUCCCGCGACCCUUCUGAGGAUAAACGGCUCAUAAAAUGGAUGGAUGGACUAUUGACCUAGCUCAGUAGGUGCUGCUGUUUUAGUUAGCAACAACAAAAUAAGACAAUGCGAAACAAACGCAUUUCAGUCUAGUGGAAUGUUAAUCACUAUUAAUACAAUACAUACUGUGAGAUUUUUUUUUUAUUUUGCAGGUAAGUUGGCACUUCAUUUGAGAUACUGUUUAUGUGCUUUGGGGUGGGCUGCUGUUUUUGUUAGCAACAGAGUAACAAAAGUGAAAGAUCUCCUGAUACAUCGCGUGAGUCCUCUGCAGAGAGCUUUUGUGUGUGUGUUUUAAUGUUUUGGGUUUUUUUUUUCCAGCUCAACAAGCUUCCACAGAGCUAAUGAAGCCUCACCACCGCCCCCACGCAACCCCGCCGCCACUCCUAUCCCCGCAUUAUUUCCGCGACCAAAAAAAAAAAAAAGAUGCCGCGUCCGCCCAUGCCUCAGCGAGCCGCGGAUGGCGAGCGCGGAACUUCUGGGCCGAGGGUCAAAAAGGGUCUACGCAAAACAUCUGCUGAUCCCACCCCCGUGUCGUGCCGCUCGCUCGCCACCGCACCGCCAUGCGGGUAAACAAACAUGGCGGAGACCUAAUUGAAUUACUUCCGUCAGCCAACAAGCAUGCGGAUCGGUGGCUCGGGCAUGUUUGCGACCGCAGUGGAGGCAAAAGUCGGCAUGCCGCGUAGAGACCUCACGUCACAGCGCAUCGUAAGAUGAACUCCACACGAUCGUUUGGGGUCUUUUGGGGGACACACAUUUUUUUUUUUUUUACAUUGACCGUUACGAAUCUUUGGAAAGAAUGAAGAUAACUUAUUUUUACACUUACAUGACUGUGAUAGUUGCUUAGUUUUUUUUAUGUAUUGAAGUAACAAUGUUACAAGUUACACUGUAGGAGCGCUUGUAUUAGUUUUACAUUUGAGUGUUUCAAAUAACAUGAUCAGCAGUUGUUACGUUAUUUUUACACU